AAAUAUUAAAGUAUAGAUUUUGCCUUCACCCACGUAAAACUCUCAUGAAAUUCAAUGCACUCAAAUAGCAGUGUUAUCUGAACGCUUAAUAAGUUACAUUAAUUCAAUGUCCCCCCAAAACACUCUGAUAAACAAGGCUGCUAAAAAUAAAUAUUCAAAACCGGAUUUCAAAAACAUUUGCUACGCUUUCAUUUUCUCUGAAACUGACCGCAGUUCAGUGGAAGCUGUCAUAUUCCUUAUGGUCCCAGUAGGUGGCCCAUUUGAUAACACAGAACAGGUCUGAAACGGUUCAGCUCCAGUCUGAAUGCAUGUGAAACCUGUCAGGUGAGGUCUAUUUUCGUUUAUGUUAAACUAUGAUGUUUAAACUAUUUUUAAAUGGAAAAAAUAACCGAACCUGUGUAACAACAACUCUGCAAGUUCCUUCUCUGAUUUGCAUGCAAAUGGAAGCUGAAUUUUUACAGCCUGAGUUUGUAUUAUCACACUAUCCGAUGGUGACUUCAGUGCAGUUAUUUUGAUUUACACCAGUGCGAGCCAAGAACAGAAAUUGAGCUUAAGUUGUUUCUAAACCGAUUUAUUAUCCUUUAUACUUUGACUGAACAGUUCUGUUACACUGGAAUUUUUCUUUCACAUUUUGUAAUAUAAUUUUAGCAUUGUUGCUUUCCAAUUUUCCUACUUUAAAGAAUGCAUCCUGAAAAAUAAUGGAAUUAUAUCGUAUAACUUAAUUUGUGUAAAUAUAUGUAAUGGCAUCAUAAAGCACAUGCAAUUACCAUAUUUAAUGAUGAAAAGUUCCUGAUUAAAUUAUAUUAAGAAAAUGAAAAUCACAUUUCUGUUACGAGUGUUCAAAAGGCAGAAUAGUUCUUUUUCUGUUCAUAAAUGGCUUGUGAUGUUUAAAAAUAUGCUUGUUAUUCUAAAUUGUUUGUAAAAUCUGUUUGUCAAACAUGUUUGUGUUAUGGAUUGAUUGUAAACUGUUCACAGUGAACAAUCCAUUCAGUUUUCAAUAUUUGUAUUUUUCUACUCAAACAUUGACAUUGGUCAGCUAAGGAAAUAGGACAUUUUGCUUCUCUUCUCUGACAGGAUGAGCUAAAUAUUUACAAACUACUUCCGCUGUUCCUUGAAUAGAAUUUUGUUUUGUCACAAGAGUGGUUUUGCAUCUUGAAUGAAAACAUCUCGGCGAAAGGCACAAAACUUGCUGUUUGUAAAAUUCAUACGAAGUUUUGGUUACACAAACGUUUGUGACCAGAGAAUUUUGCGACCAGAGCUGUGAUGCGUUCAAUCAAAAACCAACAGGUAUUUAUAAACGUAAAAUGUACGAGUAAGUUUAAUUGAAUGUCCUGUGUCUAUUGUGGCAAACUCCACGAGCUAUUGAAACAGCUCUACCUUUGUAUACCUUGAAAAUGGCUUGUUUCUGUGCUUUUGGCCCUGGUUUUGCAGCUUCUUAGAGACCUAUUGACGUAAAUGGAGCUCUGCCUGGAGGCAGAGAUUUGCCUGUGUAACUCAGCUUGCAGGGUAGGAACCUUUAUUUACAAGUUUUUAAAACGCUUCAGCAGGGCUUAGAAGUUGAAUGGCAACAUUCAACCUGCAGCAAACUUUUAUGCUAGAGAUACAGUCACCUGAAAAAGCCACCCAACAGCUCACAGGGGUUUAUACUCUAUAACAGCAACAUUUACACUACCUUAAAUAUAUGGGCUUGACUAAGAGCCACCAUAUAAUUAUGAACAAUACAAGUAAAUCUGAGAGAGAAAAUGAACAAGGUUGAAUGUCAGAGUAACGACAGUAUCUUGGUUAAGGUUUGGCUUUGUUGUAAUCUUUGUAUCCAAUAUAAUAAGAGAGCUACAAAAGAAAGACAAUAUUGUUUAUCAUAAACUGACAUUUUACAAGUUCUGCCAAAAAAAAAAGUAUGGUUUGCUUUCUCUGAAACAACUUUAAAUGUUUUAUAUUAAAAUAAAUAAUAUAGAAGCUGGAAAUAAACACUUUUAAAAUGAAGGCUAGUGUUUUUCACCAGACAUUAUUGUACGUAUUUGUUAUAGGCAUGGGCAUCCCCUCUUGGACAAUAAGUAUCAAUCCAUGCACUUUUAAGCUGCCUAUUGCUUGAUAACUAUCUGACAAACAUAUCUUAUUGUGUUCACCAUAGCAAAAGCUUUAGGGCUGCAAUGCAACUUCUAUCAUUAACCUAUUUUCACAGUCUUACAAUUUUUUUAGAAAAUCACUGUUUGCGGUAAAAAUUUGAGGAAAACCUGUUUGACUUUUUAGUUAGGCAAAGGAGCAGAAAGAAGGGAGAAAUAUUUCCUGAUUUAUAAAAGAAAUUACAGGCAGGGCAAACAGAGCCUCAGUAGCUGAAUUCUACGCGCUCUCAGCAGCAGAUCCUGCAGUCUGCUGAAAAGAGUGGGGCUCACGCUGCCAAUGGGAUCAAAGGACCUGGACAGUUUGAUGGUUAACGCACCCUGCCUAUGCCCAGUUUAAAAAAACAACAACAAAACUUAGGGAGAUGGGUAAAAACACAUUUGGAAAAACCAUAUUGCGCCAACCAGCUCUACUGGUUCUUUCCUUUUUCUCCUUUUAUUUCUGUCAUUAAAAGCCUUAGGAAACCAAGUGCAAAAAUCUACAUUAAGGCUGUGUUAAGGCUAUGGAAUAUACGGUAAUAUUCUGUGUCCUGAUUCGAAAUGCAGCAGCCCAUCUGCUUAACAAUCUGGGUUGCUGUGAACGCAUUUAACCCAGUACUCUGCUCUCUGCACUGGAUCUCCAGUGAAUAUAGAAUCCAGGUUACAGUCUCUGUCCUGUUUUCCUUCUCCCUCCAUGGAAAUGCCCUUGGCUACCUGAGAGGUUGACCCUCUCAUGCAAUGGCUAUGAUCUCCCUUGACAGCUAUAUUUCCCUGGAACAACAAAACUGCUGGUCAAUACAGAGAGGUUUGUGAGAGCAGCAGACAGAGCUUUCAUAGGAGUUGGAUCUACACAAUGGUGCUCAUGCCCAUGCCCACACCCGGUAAGAAUAACUCCGGACCUCACCACUUUUGGAAUCAAUUGCAAAGCUCAUUCUUCUGCUUAUCUGUCUCUCAAUGGUCAUGUUGACAUUUGGAAAACCGUCUGUGUUUCAAAGCAUAACAUAUUUUAAUUAAUAUGAUUUUAACCAGGACUUCGCAGCUACUAGAGACUGGGCAAGUUGUAUUUAAAAGCAAAUUAGUUGAUAGUGGUCAAUCCUAAACCACCCCCCCCCCCAGUUUCAACACAUUGUAAAACAUAACCUAUGCUCUUGGUUGAGACGUGGCCAAUAAGUUAAUAUAAAUAUAAACAAAUUGAGCUUUUCUCAUUUAGGCAGUGAAAGAAGAAAGAAAGAGUAACAGUUGUUAUUAUUUCUAUCUUUCAGUAUUUGGAAGUUGCUCAGAUACUACGGUGGUGCAUGCUUUAUAUGUAGGUAGACAGGAGCGAUGUAUAACUUCUCAGCUAUGCAUUUGGAAAAAGACAAGAAAAGAAAUGAAUAGUUUUAAAAGGUAGUUUUUAAAAUAAGUAUCUUGAAUCUUCUGCAAUGCCAGGAAGUGGAGGAGGUCCAAGGUUGUCAGGUUAUUAGAAAAUUAAAACACAGAUGAAUGGAAAAGCCAUGAGCUUUACUUUGAAAUAUAAAUCUUCUUGCUGAAACGGAGCCUUCUUUAGUACAUAGGUUCUUGGGUCUCAGUCACAGUUACAUUUGAGGCAACUUAUACAUGUUAUACUCUAUUCAACUGGCAUACCGUUAACCUACAAGACUUUUGUAGCGCAAAAUACAGUGAUUCUACUCUUAGUUUUUUAAUGCUGAGUGAAGCCAAGGUGUAAAAGGAUUCCAUGUAAUCAUCCUGUCUCUAAAAAUAAUGUAACAGUGCACCACAUCUAAGCUCGUAGGCCGGAUUCUGAUCUCAUUUACACUGGUAUAAAUCCAGAUAAAUCCCACUGAAGUGUAUGGGGUUAAUCCGGAUUUAUGUUGGUGUUCCUGAGAUCAGAUUCAGAUCCUGGUACGUGAAAUAAAGAGCUCUGAUUCUUAAGUAUUUAUUCUCCAACUGAUAUCCUCGUCAUUUCUGCAUACAGACACUCAGAACCUAAUUCUUCCUACACAUACUAACGUAAUUCCUAUUAAAUCCCCUUGAAUUUUUAUGCUGGUGUCUUUGCCUUAUAGAGUUAUGUGUGUAUCUAAAUUACAUUCCUUUCUUACCAGCAGAGGGAGCCCAGACCCACUUCCUGAGCUCUGAGACUGUUCAAUCAAGUCUUUCAGGGAUUCCCCUGGAGGAAUUUCAUAAGCCGGGUGGGGGGGUGGGGGAAGUGAUGUUGGGAAGAAAUGUGAACAACGCUUAAAUACUUCCGACUUACCUGAAGUAACAGAAUAUGAUGAUAAGUACCAGGAGUAUACUGCAAACAGUCACUGAGAUCAGCAAGGCCUUAUGGUGAAUGUUUCCUUCAACAAAAUCUGGUUUAAAAAAUAAAAAAAGCUCUGUACAAUGGCUGUAUUUUUGUCUUAGAAGUCAGCACUACUCUCUAAUACCUGAGAUGUCUUUCACAUUAGGUUGGGUGUAAAAUGCAUUCGGUCUUCCUGGGUUUAGUUUCACAUGUAAAAAGACAUACACGAAUUUAUAAAUCUAAUAAGCAACAGAAUUGUUCCCUUUCUUUCCUACUGGAGCGUUGUGUAACUUAUCACUUGAUUUCAGAGCCAUUUUAUGUGCUCCUUCUUCAGCCCUCAUCCAACGGAGCAAACAUAGCACAUGGAACAGCAACCGAGGGGCUGACUGAUCCUGCAGUCUUUACUCAGAUAAAGAUCUCACUGGUAACCCUGGCGCUUUUGACUGAGUUUGCAAGGCAGUAUUUAGCCCUUCAUGACCAAUCCACUAGCUCCCCACCCCCUCAGACCUGGGAUUUAUAGUCCUGUAUCUUACAUAUCUUGUCAGCUAGGACACAGACUAGUUUGGUGCCUCUUUAUCUUAAUUAACAUUUAUUAA